ensembl:lncRNA
AGCAGCCGCGCGCGCACUCGGUGUAAGCUCAGCGCGAGCGUGUAGACACGGAGAUUUGAAGAAGCCUGGGCCUUAAACACCGCUGUUUAACGGAAACUACGGGUUUAACGGACAAGGUAAAGAACGAGAGGAGUUUCAUUUAUCUAAAGAGCGCGCUGAGGUUCAGCAUGGAGCUGCUGUGUGUGUGUGUGUGAGUGUGUGUGUGAGUGAGUGUGUGUGUGUGUGUGUGUGUGUGUGUGUGUGAGUGUGUGUGUGUUGAGGACACUAUAAUAACCCCUUUAUCAACAAAUUACACAUUACCCCCUUUAGAGCAGAUGGAUCUGAAAGUAUUGGCACCCUUUAGCUCCCUAAUGAUGGAUUUUGCACUGGCAGUUAGGAGAAAUUCAGUAUCAGGACUGGCAUGAUUCCUGAAUUAAUAGCCUACAGCUUUAUUAAUACACUCUCAGACACAACCCCCCUCCUCCUUCCCCCCAAAAAUCAUGUGUAUCUUAUGUGUAUCUUUUACCUGGAAAUGUGCAUUUGGGGUUCUUUUAACCCAAUUAACUGUUUAUAAAAAAAAUAUAUCACAGACCCAUUCAGUACAGAUUAAAUUAACAACCAGGAUCCUUCAAAUAAACUCUCCAAGUGUUAGAUUAAUUGGUUAAACGUGUACAGAGAUAUCGUGGACAUAUUUUGGAGCGUUUUAUUCACGGACUUUCUUUCUUUCUUUGAGUUAUUGAGCUUUGGAUUAAACUCAUUUGCGUCACGUCACCAGUUAAAUAGGGCGAUAACUAUAAAAAGUCAAUAAAUAUAGCUGGCAUAAAGGCGGGCUGUGAUUUUCACCACCACCAGGCUACACUUCACGGACCCCUGGGGGGUUUCAGACCCCAUAUUGAUAACCAUGGACUGUAAAAGCAGUACGCUAAGAAUUAAUUAAGUGAUGCUUGAGCUCCAAUAACUUACCUUAAAUCGAUUUAAAGGUGCACUGUUUCUACAUUUCCAAGUGUUAAAGUUAAAUACAUGUUAAAGGAACAAAAGAGGCACUCUUGAUUGACAGAAUCACCUCAAGGUACAGUUUAGUACCCUUUUUAUUCUGAGAGCGUAUACUAUAUGUAAUCAAAUAGUAAAUAAUUGUACUAUUCAGUCUUUUAACCUUAAAGAGCUACACAGAAAAAGCACACAGAAAUAUUCCCUACGCACAGAUCGCUUUACGUAAUUAACACCUGCGCUAUUAAAUGAACUGUUGCACUGAAUUAUACGGUGUUCAUUAACACGAGUGGCCUAACUUAAUUAUUUAAGUGUUCAAUGAACCUCACUGUGUCCCACAGCAUUAACUCACAACUAAUACAGUGUUAGUCUAAUUCCUAAGUCAAGGCUUACAUUGUUCAAAUAAUACCAAUGAUCUACUACAGUGUUAUUCAAUACUAGUUGUUCAAAUAAUACCAAAUGAUCUACUCCAGUGUUUAUUCAACGCUUACAUUGUUCAAAUAAUACCAAAUGAUCUACUCCAUUGUUAUUCAACGCUUACAUUGUUCAAAUAAUACCAAAUGAUCUACUACAGUGUUUAUUCAACGCUUACAUUGUUCAAAUAAUACCAAAUGAUCUACUCUAGUGUUGAACAGCACUGUAUUUUAAGUGUUGCAAUUAAAAUUAUCGACCCUGAUAUAGUUGAUUUCACUUGUACAGCUGAUGUUUAUACUGUACGUGUUUUUAUUUGGAUUAAUGCAUGUAUUAGAUGUCUUAAUUCAACACUAGAGUUUUCGCUGUGUAUGUAUUACAAGUAGUGCUGAAUAAAAUCCUAUUGUGUUGUAUUAUCACCUGCGGUAUUAAAUGUACCAUUGCAGUGUUUAGUGUUUAGGUAACGGUUGUGUUGAAUUAACACCUACUUACUGUGCUUACCGGGUUAAAUUUCCUAGAGAUAACGAGACAUCAAAACAGAAAUCGAAAUGAGCGUUUCAGAGAGUUCUGUAACCGUCCCUUAGUGCUACGGACACUCAUACAAUACUAUAAUAUAUCAAGGAAAAAAUGUUUUGGAGAAGUGCGUGUUUUAAUUUGACAGGUUGCCACUUCCAGAAAAACAAUACAUUUCUUUUGAUGAUUCAUAUUUGUCCAAAUCUUCAUAAUUAUCCAAUUAAAAUGCCCUCUAGAACACUAUAUGCCCAGCCUCCAGAGGUGUGCCUUGGUUUAUCUGUGUUUUUUGGCUGCACACUAUCCCCUUCUCCAACCAUCGCUUGUUUGAGGAAAAAAACCCCCAAAAACCCUUGAAGUUGAUCGUUUGUAUUUUUGAAGAGUGUGGAAUUUGGAGGAGGUCUUGAUUACGUGACCGAUGGUUUUCAGAGGUGUUCUACUGACUUGGGGCUUGGGUGGAAUAUGUUGCUAUCUCAAACUGUGCAAGAACGUGAUUAUACACCGUUGAGGAUUCUCUCGGUAAACACUCGUUAAACCGUUCUCCAGAUUUAGCUAGCCCGCCAAGCUACUGUCAGGUUUGUUUCGAUUCAGAAGGGGCGUGUCAUGGUGUAUCUUGAAGACUACCGGAGGUUGUGUAGGUUACUCAAGCACUUCAACAGGAUACCGCUCUGACUUCCUGUUCAGAAGGACUAACACAAGCACUAUAGGUUGUUUAUCAUAAUUAUGACACUGACGAUUUUUGCUGCGUUUUGCCAUUUGUGCAGCUGCAUGCAGUAUUUCUACAGACGUUUGCUAAUUUGAAGGAUUUCUGAAUGAUUUUCAAACGUACUCAGACGGAGAAAUGAAAACAUUCGGUCACAGGCGUGUUUAUUUGCAGACGGGGGUUAAAUCUGUAUCGUUUCCUCAGAGCUUCUCGGUAUCUUUAAGACAUGACGUCACGUCCUUGUUGCUGUGUUCUUUGGUAUAUUUGAACGCUCAUCACGUCGCGUGAACUUCAUUUGCUUUAGAUAUUACACUCUUGUCCAAACCACAGGGAAAGAUGUGUGAAAUGGAGUCACGGAGUGCGCACUGGUACAUGACCUCCUUUUAAAGGUCUCACAUGCGUAAGAUGUCUCACACAUUCCCGCUGUCCGUUUCACCCCGUCUGUAACUUUCAGUUGUUUCACUGUAGAUUCACGGACAGGUGAUCCUGAGCGACAACUUUAUCCAGGGCUGUGUGUGAUUUUAAGGUGUCAGCCUCUUAUUUCCCCCCGCCAUGUGAGAUAUGAAUACGUGAUCUGGUAGCCUGGCAUGCAACGGAGCUUGGCAUCAUUAGAACCGGAGAUCUACAGUAACAUAAGACACACAAGGCACAGAGGCACUCGCACAUGGUAAAGACAUUCACCUGUUGCAAAAUCGAGCCCUGCUGAGAAAGACGCUGCUAUUUAGGCGUAUUCAGUAGCUCUUAAUCGGGAAAUGCAGAUUGUCUAGGAAGGAGUGCUGAUGCGAUGAAAUGUGAGCUGUGAUUUCUUUUAAGAGCAGGUUUGGGACAGUUUUUACUCUUAGCCCUUAGAGGUCUCUCUCACACUGCACACACCCUGUGGUCCAGUGGGACUAUUUUUUUUUUGUUUUUUUACAGAUAUCACAGAGCAGAAUGUAUGACCUGUUUACAUCAGGUAUCUUCAUUAAAUAUUUCAAGUUUUGUUCAGAUACUUACUUAAAAUUCCUUUAAUAAAACCUUUAUGCUUACAUGUUAAAGCUUUGAAAUGGGCUCAAUUUGAAGUAAAUCACCGGAGAAUACGUCAAUCAUAAAGAUCCGGCAGUACAAUCAACGAAAUGAAUAGAGAUUCAUCUUCAUAUCUUAUCGUAAUGUAAAAAGCUUUCCAUAGAUAUCACAGAUUAGAAAGUUUACAUCAGGUUGAUUUAUUAAAGGCGCAUUAAAGGUGAAUUCAGUAAGAUUAGGUGUGUAAUGGUUAAGUCUCGAUUUUUCACUCCGACAUUCCCGCACAUGCUCACAAAGCUCCGCCCCCAGGAUCUAUGGGGACCCGUCGAGUAAAGUGUCUAUGACAUGACUUACAGGAGGCGCAUCCAAACACAAACAAGCAUUUCAAACAGUAAGUCAAGUUAAGAUUUCUAAACAUGUUUUCUCAGCCACUUAUACUUUGCACGGCUUAAACGGGUUUUUAAAAAAAAAAAACAACAACAAAAAAACAAAAACACAUUCUACAUAUUUUCCGGUUAUUUUCCAGUAAUCAAUCAGUCAGUCAGUCAGUCAAUCAAUCGACCAAUCAAUGUUGCACCUUUAAGUAUUUGUAUUGAAGUAUUUGUUCAGGUAUUGUUUCAAAUUCUUAAAAAUAGCUGAUUUCUGAAUUCAAAGUGGAAGUGUUUACGCUUUGAAAUGGGCUUUAAAUAAAUGACUUCCUAAUUCCUAAUUUCCUUCAGGAUUAAUUAAGGUCAAGUUUUGUUCUCUUAUCUGAUCUUAUCUCGAGAUAAGAAGCAUUGGACCAGUUAUUUUACAGUUACCAGUUAGUUUACAGUUAUCACAGAGUAUUUGUAUUUAGGUAUUUAGGUAUUUGUUCAUAUACUUGUCCUUAAAAAUGGCUGAUUUUCUGUAUUAAAGACUUCAUCUUAAUGGGCUUAAGUGUGCUCAAUUUUAAAUAAAUGACCGGAGAACAAUUAAUACUCACAUCUUCCUUAAUUCUUGCAGUAAACCGACGUACAUUACAGAACCUAACUGUGUGAAGGUGUAGUUUAAAGGUGUAUAGAUGCAGGACUCCUUCUAGAUAAAAAUUUCGAUACUUCCUGUUUUUCUUUCUUUCUACGUUAUCCACCUCAAAAGUGCAGGGAAAAAAUGGCCAAGUUUCAAUUUAGAAAAAUCAAUCAUGCGCCUUCGCUUGCUAACUUGUUGCUAAGGAUUAUAUUUGAUCCACAAGCCAGAAAAGUGACAUCACUGAUAUGACUGGAAAAACUGACCGUUUAAAUUUAGGUCGCGGAGACUGAAUUAUCUUUCACUUGGAUCUCGGUCCGAAUUAUUUUUAAUCGCGUCGCCCUUCAGACGUCCCAACAAGCUAUUUAUAAUCUCGCACAUGAUUUCGAAUAACGAAUAAUUUUGAUAUCCUUGCAAAAAAAAAUGUUAAGAAGUCUUUGUACUCAAAGACGUGUUCAUUGUCCUCUGUCGGACUCUACUCUUAUUACGGUGAGUGUAGGCUACUUGUUGGAUGAAGUGGCCUUAUCCAGUUACAUCACGACAAACAUUUCACGUGAAGUGUGACGUUAUGGAGACAAGGAAGCUUUUCACUUUUUUUAAGAUUAGAUUAGAUUAGAUUACAAUAUAGGCAGAAUAGUGGCGCAGCUCUAGUUACUGUCUGAAUGGAGUUUCUCUGUGCACGUUCUCCCCGUGUUCAUGUGGGUUUCCUCCAGGUCUCUCCGGAUUCCUCUCACCUUCCCAAAAACAAACCGACGUACCAACAGACCAGGAUACAACACUGACUUUAAGAUGACCAUGAAUGAAAACAAAUAGACUGGAUUAAGCGCAAUGUAUAGAACAUAAAAAAGGAAUAGAUAGAUAGAUAGAUAGAUCGAUAGAUAGACUGUAGAUAGAUACUGUAGAUAGGCCAAGCUUGAUUGAAUAGAUAGAUAGAUAAAUAGAUAGAUAGAUCACUUUAUUUAUCCCAGAGGGAAAUUCACCUAUUACAGCAGCACAGAGAGUUAAAAGUAUAUUAAAG